rnacentral:lncRNA from 1 species
GAGGGAUGUAGGGGAGCACUCGACGGGCUUGGGUGAAACCCCGGGGGAGAUGAGGCCGGGGGUCAAUCAAGAAGUUGUCCAUGGCAACCAACAGUCUGUGGUGGAUGGGACUAACUCGACGAACGAUGAGAGGGAGUGGUGGGAUGCUUGCCUAAUAUUUAAAUCCAUGGGCGGUUCUUGCUCAGGCUGGGAGAUUCUACAGAGAAAUUUGGAGACCUUGUCCAACAUAGUGGGAGGGGGGAGGGAGGGGGGACCGGAUCAGUACAUCAGGUAGGCCUCCGAAUAGUGUGGACAUGAUCAAAGUGGGCUUGAACUAUAGGCAUGUUCAGAGCUUCAUCAUUGUUAUCAGUGGUAAGCUUCAUGAUCAAUCCUUAGAUACUAGCGAGAGGUUUUUUGGUGUGCUCCAGAAGAUCAACAUGACUUUCUUUGCUCAGUUUCAUAAUCAAAUCAUUAGAGAGCAAUUAGACUGGCUGAGCAACUGGAUUAUGUUGAGGAAUCUAAUCCAUCUAACCAACAGGAGAUCCACGUGGCAGUUCAAGCU